rnacentral:lncRNA from 1 species
UAGAUGGCAGGGCAAAGAUGGAGAUGUGAUUCCCAGGCCUUAGCAGCCAAGAAUGGAAGAGGCCGGACCCCGGUUCAGGGUUUGAUACAUGCCAUAGACGUUCUGGAGAGGGGAAGCACCAGCCGGAUGAAUCAAUCCUGCCCUGCCUGUUCUGAGGCCCAGACAAGGAGGCGGUGAAAAGACCCUGUCUUCUGCGAAGGGCUCUGCAUUCAUUCCCCUACUGCUGUUAGAGCUGUUCUGCCCCUGGGGAGGAGCGCAGACCUUGAAGUAGAAGGUUAUUCUUCUCAACUAAGUCCCGGCUCCAGGAGGGAAGGAGGUGGAAACCUACUCGGGACUCUAGAGAGCAAACCCCCUCAGAAGCAGCCCAGGUUUGACAGGUUUGGGAGGCCUGGCUGAGGAAAGCCCGAGGCCCAGGCUUCCCGGACCCCCUCUGAGAAGGCUCUGGAUGUGGGGGUUUGGAGCCCCUGUCUGCUCCCUGAGAUGUGGCAGGGCCCCUGGCAGGAGCCGUGGCAAACACUGGAGACAAUCUGGCUGCUCAUAAUAGGCGAUGGAUAAAAACAUGAUGGUGAAGUCUGAUGGGACCAUGGAGCCUCAGCUCAUAGGUGAUGCCAUCUCCUGCCACCUCCCUCCCUCCCUCUAGGGGAAAUAGUUCUUGGUCAUCCUGCAUUUGAGUGUUGUGGGGCCCCCACUCAACCUCAGCCCAGUGAUUAUUGCCACGCUUUAUCUCUGGUGGGGGCCUGGAUCAGGCAUGGUGAGCCAGAAUUAAUCAGGCCCCGGCUUACCUGAUACAGAGGAGACACACCUGUGUUCCUUUGGCACAGACAUUCUGGAGUCCCAGUGCCCAGGAAAGAAGACGGGAGGCAGUAGCAGAGCCUGGGAGAGAUGGCCUGAGGAUGUUGUGAUGGAAGACUGUAUAUGAUCAUAUGCACUGCUGUCCAGUCUGCAGAGCCAUGUGGGGGCAAGAAGCAGAGGCAAGGAGCUGCCUGCAUGUGGGCUCUGCUUCUCUAUCCCUCACUCCGUCUCCUCCGCUGCAAAAAGAGGACAGCAAUAGC